rnacentral:rRNA from 1 species
ACGAACGCUGGCGGCGUGCUUAACACAUGCAAGUCGAGCGGUAAGGCCCUUUCGGGGGUACACGAGCGGCGAACGGGUGAGUAACACGUGGGUGACCUGCCCUCAGCUCUGGGAUAAGCCUGGGAAACCGGGUCUAAUACCGGAUAUGACUCCAUGACGCAUGUUGUGGGGUGGAAAGCCUUGUGCGGCUGAGGAUGGGCCCGCGGCCUAUCAGCUUGUUGGUGGGGUGANGGCCUACCAAGGCGACGACGGGUAGCCGGCCUGAGAGGGCGACCGGCCACACUGGGACUGAGACACGGCCCAGACUCCUACGGGAGGCAGCAGUGGGGAAUCUUGCGCAAUGGGCGAAAGCCUGACGCAGCGACGCCGCGUGAGGGAUGACGGCCUGGUGUAACUCUU